GUCUCUCCGGCUGGCGCCCCGCUUAGGCCUGCCCAGGCCCCGCCCACCUCCUCGUGGACCCCUCCCAGGCCUGGUUUCUGUCCUGCGCGCGCAGAUUCGCGCAAACCUGGAAGCGGACAGCGUGGAGUGAAGGUCUCACCGCAGCGCGGACAUGCGUGACACUUGGUGAGACCCGGGACAGGAGGACUCCUUCAGGAGACUGAUCCCCUGUCCUGAUCUCCAUGAGGAGCUCCACCGACGACCUCGGGUCCUCAGACCAACCAGCCCAAGGAACAGCUCACCAAUUUCAAAUUGGAGGCAGUAUUGCUCUGUCGCCCAGUGGUGCAAUCUCAGCUCACUGCAACCUCCACCUCCUGGGUUCAAGCAGUUCUACUGACUCUAAUUGUCAGUCCCCUCUGCAACCAGAGCCCCACUCAACCCCUUUACUGAGGUCCCUGCCCCUUCCCACUGCGUUGUCCCAGACUGAGGGGGGAGCUCGCCCUGACUGCAGGACUCUGCCUGCUCAAACAAGGCACUUUGCAUUAAAACCAUUUUCAACUUAAGAGGAAAAAUGAUUCAGCGUUCAGUACAGGUGGCCUACUACAACAUGUUGUUUUACCUUCGAUUGUUUGAAACACUAACUUGAAAUGGGCAGGAAACAUCCCUGUGAUAUUAGGGGUAAUAUCACGGCACAUCAGAAACAAUCCACCAAUCAGAACUCGGAGGAUUUUGUCCAAGCGGGCAAGAGGAUGACAGCAGGCGACAUCCGGGGCCCAGCUGAGGAGAGAGCCCGAAUCCGACCCUUGCAGGCCUCCGCCCUUCAGAACAACAACCCCUCCAGACGCCGCCCCCAAGAUGACGGUAACCCUCUGUUUCUGCCCUUUCCCGCUGUGUGGCCUGGCCCCCAGGCGGCCUCCUCCCUCUUGCCCCGCCCCAGCCUUGUUCCAGGCACCGCCCCCAGACUCUAGCUCUCCUAGGUUCCUUCUUAAGUUUAUACACUCAUGCACCACAGAGUCCUAAGCACAAAUAUGGAAGACACCACGCUCUGGUAAGGUAUCUAUCUGACAGACUGAGCGUCUGCCUCAAGAACAUAGCAAUAGCAAUACUAAGUGAAAUAUUAGUAAGUUUCAUAUAUGUAUAUAAUUAAUCAUUUAUUAUUUGCAGCUUUAAAUUGGCUAAAAUUACAUAGCAUGGGUUUGUAUUUUAAUCAAAUAUUAAAAAUAUAUCAUUCACAAAUGGAAUCUAACCACACAAAGUUGAAGAACAUUUCCUUAUGUCGAAUAAAUAUGAAGGACUUCA